ACAGGUUAAAGAUGACAUCUCACCUUCGGAAGCGCCCGUCUUGGAAUGAGAAUUUUUGCAUCAACGGUUCAGGUGGCUAUAUAGUACAUGUAUUGUUGAGGGGGCUCAGCGAGCAAUCAACACCUCACAUUUCCAAGCAGAGAGUAAUGAGAAUGGUCUUGGGUUUGUUAUGCUAUGGGUCUUUACAGUGGAUUCAUAGCGAUGUAUGCUACAUAAGCUAGCAGAGAUGUCGAUUGAUACCUUACCUCCUGUGUCAGCAUUUUAUCUCGAAAGAAAAGGUGGACUCUUGGAGUUCAUUGAGAAACAGAUCUAAGUUGAAUGGUCACAUGGUGAUUGUUCUUGCUGAAGAACAUGGCAAGAGUUGAUGUGCAAAAGCAUGGAAUCUAACAGACGCCUCUGAUAAAAAGCUUCUUAAAGAUGUCGCUUCUGGCUACCACAAAGCAUCAAGGAUCAUUUAAAGAAGAUUAACAUGGGUGAUGAAUCUCAAAUACGUAGGUAACAAAAACCAUGACUCUUUCUCCCCACUGUCAAUUACUUGGAUAUUUUAAAUUCAUUUAUUUGUUUCUUGCUUUUAGAUCCUGCGUACAUGAUUUGGACUGUUCUAGCAAUGCAUCAAACACUGUUUACUUUAUACUUCUUGCUCAGAGCGUUGUUCAUGGUGCAGUGGCAGGUUACACUAGCUACAUCAGUAAUCUUAUCAAUAGAAGACAAACAUACAUGAUGAGUUCUAACACUUCAGUUAUAUUUGUUUAGUAUUGUGGUCAAGACCAAUCUUAAAUGUGUAGAUCGUAGAGCUUUCACGUUCUUAACUACGAAUACGUGAAGAAAGAACAACGUUAAUCAUUA